AAUCUCGGUCUGUCGCCCAGGGUGGAGUGCAAUGGCGCGAUCUCGGCUCACUGCAACAUCCGGCUCCCGGGUUCCAGCCAUUCUCCUACCUCAGCCUACCGAAUAGCUGGGAUUACAGGCGCCCGCCAUCACGCCCAGCUAGCUUUUGUAUUUUUAGUAGAGACGGGGUUUUGCCACGUUGGCCAGGCUGGUCAACUCCUGACCUCACGUGAUCCGCGCACCACAGCCUCCCAAAGUGCUGGGAUUACAAGCGUGAGCCACCGCGCCUGGCCGACUAAGAACAAUUCUAAAGACAUACUGAAAGACUAAGAAAUGUCACAGCACAGGACAACCGAAGCACUUGAAGAAAUUUCAAAUAUUCUUAAAAGUAUGAAUUCCAAUGACAGAAAAUGUAUUUCAUUUGUCAAAAUUCUUAAUUUCUCAAGUUCAAAAAUGCCUUGGCACAUUUCCAUGGCUCCUCGCUAGAAGAAUUUAACUUGGCUCUACUUCCAGGGCAGACCAGAACAGUGGGUGAUUUUCCUCCUGCCAUUUUCUUGGGACAGUGAAAAGUGGAGAAGAGAAUGUUUAAAUUGUUGCCUGCUGGGGACACAUCGCACUCCUCAAUUUGGGUGGUGCCAACCGCUGUUGGAAUUAGUUAUCUAGCUGAAAUUUUGUCUUUCAAAGGACUAGUGCAUCACUCUGCUGCAAAGCUUGGAAAAGCUCUGAUAGCCUCAAGUCUCUGCUCUGCUUUUGUGGUGGAGCCUUGGACAGACGUGGAAUUAAGGAUCCCGUCCAGGAUCCCACAUUCCAUGUAGUCACUGCCUCCUUAGGCUCCUCCUGGCUGUGACAGUUUCUCAGAUUUCCCUUGUUUCUAAUGAUUGUGGCAGUUUUGAAGAGCACCGGUCAGGUUGAUUUUAGUGCAUUUGAGCUACAAUCAUAUUUUAUUAUCUGGAAAAUGCCUCGAAGACAUCUGUGGAUCUACAAACUUCCAGGGCUACUCUCUGCAUACAAAGGAGGCAUGAACAGGCCUUUCUACUCAGAAGUGGACUAAGGUUCCCUCCACCUAAGGCAAACUGCCCGGGGCAACUGCCCAGCAUGGAAAGCUUUGGUCUUCACGGUCUUGACUUUUUACCAGCAUCUCUGAAGCCCCAAAGUCACAUAAGAAUUUAUUUGACUGAAAAUUAUUUAAGAACUUUAUGUGUUAAUUUUCCUUAUAAAGUGAAAGUUGAUCACUUUCUUUUCCCAUAUGUCCUUUGCCCAGACACAACUUAUUGUUACUCUGUUUUCAAUAUCGAAGCAAGAAAUGGAAUUCAUUGUGAGCCUGCCCCAGUGCUAUUCAGACUCAUUCUAUCCAGGGAGCAACUUCACUCCAUAAUUUGUGUAGAUACAGUUACUUACCUACCCACUCUCUAGUACAUAACUCCCCAUACACACCCACGGACUUCUUCCCCUAGGGAACUAGUCAGUGGUGUGUCUCCCUUUACCAGGCAAGUGCAUGAAAUCAGUGCAUGAUGUGCUGGUCAAUGUGGUGAUCUUUUCCCCUCUUUUAACCUGGGGAAGAGAGUUUAUGGCAGAAACCACAGCUUUAAUCCACACAUCUUUGUGUACCAACCUCAGUGUUCUACAAGGCAGAGAAGAGAAUGGGUCCAGCGAUUCCUCCUGAGCAGUUGUCACGGAAAUCUCUUGCUCUCCUUUGGGAAGAUGAGUUUUACUCUCAAUGAUGCAUUGAUACUCACCAUUAUUACAAGGACUAGUGAACAAGAACUUGUUAUGUGCCAGCACUGUGCUAUGCUUCACUCAAGCCAGUUAAUUCCUGCACUCUCCUGCAUUACUGAAUGAUUUUUCUUUUCUUCUGAAUGGUAGUUUUUAAAUGUAGGACUACUGUUUCUUCAUCAUUUGAGUUUGGGAAUUAGGCCUCAAAUGAGGCAGCUUAUGAAAUCUGCUUUGGAGGUCAGGGGUCUUCUCCAUAGUGGAAAACAUCUACCUGACCCUUUUUAGGCCCCAAACUCCUCUCCAGGGUGUAGUGAAUGCAUGGCACUGGCAUCCCUCCUGUAAAUGGAGGGGCUUAGAUCUCUGGAGGAAACUUCUGGGCUAGUAUGUGGCUACCACGAGAAUGGCUACAAGUGGGAAUAAAAGGGCUUUGAUCACCUUAGUCUUGAGUUCCAGGCAGUUUUUCUGGGCCAUGUCACUGAUCAAGCAUGGUGACAUCAAAGUAAGGUAUUUUCCUUUUUUUUUUUUUGAAAUAGUGUCUCACUCUGUCGCCCAGGCUGGAGUGCAGUGGUGCAAUCAUGGAUCACUGCAGCGUCCGCCUCCUGGGCUCAAGAGAUCCUCCCACCUCAGCCUCCAGAGGAGCUGGGACUGCAGGUGCACACCAUUACACCUGGCUAAUUUUUGUAUUUUUUACAGAGAUGGGGUUUCACCAUGUUACCCAGGCUGGUCUCAAACUCCUGGCCUCAAGUGAUCCACUCGCCUUGGCCUCUGAAAGUGCUAGGAUUACAGGGGUGAGCCACUAAGCCCAGCCUGGUAUCUUCUUUUGUACUUUUCAGAAGAACUCAAAAUGGAUGAGUUUGCAUAAAACUGCAUCUGCUGCUCUAGUGCCAGUGAAUAGGCCAUGAAGCUUCUGGCUCAGAUGGGACUUUAGAUCUAUGACCUGCUGGGUAUUCAGAAAGCAGCCACAGAUAGCAUAGGAGUUCAAGACAACAAUGGUGCGUGAACCACCAUGGGUCAAGAGGAGCCGUUGAUCUGAUCUGAUCUCCGCUGUCCCCCCAUGGCUUUCGUGCAGACAUAGCUGGCAGCCUGAUGGCGGUGCUGUGGAAGCAGGCCCUUCACUGGGGUACUGGCAGACUGGUUGAAGAGUCUACCUACAGGGGAGUGUCGAGUCCGGCUCUCCCUAUGGGCAACAGGCAAGCCACACAGAGGACCAACUCUUGAACAAACGUUGGUAACAUUUGUGGUACUGAGGGUUGAAAGCUAGGGGGAUUCUUAAAACUAUUAGGAGAUUCUCUCUUGCUAGUGAAACAGAUGGGAAGCAGAGGAACUACUGCACUUUGGACAUUGACUUCAGUUUUAAUCACAGACUGUUAAGGCUAGGACAUAUUUUUCUUUAACUUUUAGACUCGGGGUGCAUGCGCAGGUUUGUUAUAUAGGAAAACUUGUGUCACGGGGUUUUGUUGUACAGAUUAUUUCAUCACCCAGGUACUAAGCCUAGUGCUCAAUAGUUAUUUUUUCUGCUCCUCUCCCUCUUCCCACCCUCCCACCUCAAGAAGGCCCCAGUGUCUGUUGUUUGCCUCUUUGUGUCCAUGUGUUCUCAUUAUUUAGCUCAGACUUAUAAGUGAGAACAUGGGGUAUUAAUUUUCUGUUCCUGUGUUAGUUUGCUGAGGAUAAUGGCCUCCAGCUCCAUCCGUCUUCUGGCAAAAGACAAGAUCUUGUUCUUUUUUAUGGCUGCAUAGUACUCCAUGGUGUAUAUGCACCCUAUUUUCUUUAUUCAAUGUUUCAUUGAUGGGCAUUUAGGUUGAUUCCAUGUCUUUCCUAUUGUGAAGAGUACUGCCAUGAACAUUCAUGUGCAUGUGUCUUUAUGGUAGAAUGAUUUAUAUUCCUCUAGGUAUAUGCCCAGUAAUGGGAUUGCUGGGUUGAAUGGCACUUCUCUUUUAGCUUUUUGAGGAAUUGCCACACUGCUUUCCACAAUGCAAUGGUUGAACUAAUUUACACUCCCACCAACAGUGUAUAAAUGUUCCCUUUUCUCUGCAACCUUGCCAGCAUCUGUUGUUUUUUGACUUUUUUAUAGUAGUCAUUCUGACUCAUGUGAAAUGGUAUCUCAUUGCGGUUUUGAUAUGCAUUUCUCUAAUGAUCAGUGAUGUUGAGCUUUCUUUCAUAUGUUUGUUGGCUGCAUGAAUGUCUUCUUUUGAGAAGUGUUUUGUUCAUGUCCUUUACCCACUUUUUAAUGGGGUUGUUUUUUUCUUGUAAAUUUAAGUUCCUUGUCGACUCUGGAUGUUAGACCUUUGUCAGAUGGAUAGCUUGCAAAAUUUUUCUCCCAUUCUGUAGAUUGUCUGUUCACUCUGAUGAUAGUUUGUUUUGCUGCGCAGAAGCUCUUUAGUUUAAUUAGAUUCUAUUUGUCAAUUUUUGCUUUUGUUGCAAUUGCUUUUGGUGUUUUCGUCAUGAAAUCUUUGCCUGUGCUUACGUCCUGAAUAGUAUUGCCUAGAUUUUAAGAAAUAUUUAACUCAAAGCAACAAUAUUAACAGUUCAUUUCUCAUCUGAAACAAUAGAAGAAAAAAGACAAUAGAUCAACCUAUGUUUUUGAGAUGGAGUCUUGCUCUGUCGCCCAGGAUGGAGUUGCAAUGACACGAUCUCAGCUCACUGCAACCUCUGCCUCCUGGGUUCAAGCGAUUCUCCUGCCUCAGCCUCCCGAGUAGUUGGGAUUACAGGUGCAUAUCACCAUGCCCAGCUAAUUUUUGUAUUUUUGUAGAGAUGGGGUUUCACCAUGUUGGCCAGGUUAGUCUCGAACUCCUGGCCUCAAGUGAUCCACCCACCUGGGCCUCCCAAAGUGCUGGGAUUAGAGGUGUGAGCCACCUCUAAUCCCAGCCACAGACUGAACUCUGAGCUUUUUUUCUUUUUUCUUUUUUUUUUUUUUUGAGAGGGAGUCUUGCUCUGAUGCCCAGGAUGGAGUGCGGUGGUGCCAUCUUAGCUCACUGCAAACUCCACCUCCCAGGUUCAAGCAAUUCUCCUGUCUCAGCCUCCUGAAUAGCUGGGAUUACAAGAGUCUGCCACCAUGCCCAGCUAAUUUUUGUAUUUUUAGUAGAGAUGGGGUUUCACUAUGUUGGUCAGGCUGGUCUUGAACUCCUGACCUUAAGCAAUCCACUGGCCUCGGCCUCCCAAAGUGCUGGGAUUACAGGCAUGUGCCAGCACACCCGGCCAGCUUUUUUCAUAUGCUUGUUGGCCAUGUGUAUGUCUUCUUUAGAAAAGUGUCUGUUCAUGUUCUUUACACACUUUUUAAUGUGGUCGUUUUUUUCUUUUUAAAGACCCUGGAUAUUAGGCCUUUGUCAGAUGCAUAGUUGCAAAUAUUUUCUCCUAUUCUUUAUGUUGUCUGUUUAUUCUGUUGAUAAUUCUUUUGCCGUACAGAGCCUCUUAAGUUUAAUUAGAUCCCAUUGGACAUUUUGGUUAGCAAGAAAGGACAAUGCCUAGAGCAAUAAUCACAAUGUAGGACGUCUUUAAGGAACAAAGGUAAAAGUUUCUGGAGAUUGAAUGACCAAUUCCACUAAACUGUCGCAGCUUGAAAAUUACCAGAAUGCUCUGUCCAUCAAGUUUAGAGAAAUGCUUCAAGUUUAGGGGAAUGAUUUCUAUUGUCUAUGAAUACAGCUGAAAAAAAACAAACCCCGUCAAAAUAUCUCUCUCUUUUGGGAUGGCAGUGUUCACAAGCCCCUGUUGCCCAGCUACACAAAAUAGCCAGACAUCAUGCACCUGGUCCCACAAUGUUGAGAUAUGUAGUGAUUUAUGAUCAUAAUAAAUUAGUGUUUCCCAAAACUUACUCUGUGGAACCUUGAGUCAAAUAACUUUGGGAACUUUGCCAACUGUAUCUUCUUAAUUAUUGUGAAAGUUGUCAGAAUCAAAAUGGAGUCAUGAAUGUUAAGAAAACCCUGACAAAUGGAGCCAACAAAAACCAUAAAGAAGGGGUUCUGACACUUGUGUGCUCGAUAAUGAAAAAGACUAUACAAAAACCACAACCUGGCACACAACCCAUUGCAACUGUACAAAAAAUAUAUACAAGAAUAUCUGCCCAGCAACUGCCUGUCCAAACUUGUACUGGUGUCACCCUUGUCAUUGAUCUUUGUAACCAAAGAUAAGUAUUUCAAAAACAAUUAUGUAGUCCUCAUUUUUUUCUUUAGAAAUCUUUGCCUUCUUUUACCUCCCUGACACAUAUAUUAAUAGUUUGCUAUGGCAUGUAUAUGCCCAUUGCAAUGUUCUAUUCCCUAAUAAACAUCUUCUUCUAGAGA